CAGAGUAGGAAAUGAAGCGUUAAGUGCUUAGAGGAUGGGAUGUUGCCUCUUUGACGAAGAGAGAUAGGCUUUGGCCGGCUGAGUCUUUCGCGGUUUUGUUUCCGCAUUCGCUGC
rnacentral:ncRNA from 1 species